ensembl:lincRNA uncharacterized LOC102013670
GAUGAUGGCAUCUACCAUGUGCUGGUGAUGGACCAGGCAUCUCAUGAGGGUAAGGACAAGGUGAAGCCUGGGGCCGUGGCCAGACUGACCACUGUCAGGCGUCCACAGCCGGCUGUGUGCUCCCCAGUUGAGAAAACAGCUCUUUCUGCUCCCAAUGUUCUUUAACUCUUUUUGUAGCGUAUUGCCCCCCAAAUAAGACCGGGUCUCAUAUUAACUGUCUCUUUGAAAGAUGCAUUUGGGCUUAUUUUCCAGAGAUGUCCUAUUUUUUAUGUACAAAAAUGUACAUUUAUUUAUGUACAAAACUAUAUUUAUUCAGUUACUCAUGUACAGAAACCCACAUUUAUUCACUACAGACAUGUCAUGUUCAGGAACAUCAUCAUUACUCUUCAAACCCUGAAUUCUGCCCUGAAUUUCUUACAAGUCCAUUUACUGUGGAACCUUUGGCUCUCAUCUCUCACCGCCAGCAAUGGAGCUGUCUUUUAAUCAGCAUUUUGUCCACGUGGCUUAUCCUAGUGUUCAACAACACAGCUACUGGUGAAUAACGUCUAAUGAAAAGAGACUGCUCACUGUUCUCAGCAGUGAGGUUCAUAGGCCAGGCCGGGCCUUCAAGAUGAUGAAUGUGGAGGAAACAGGAGACACCAGCCCUCCAGGACACCUGCACCCUAAGCCUGAGUCUGCACUCGUCCACUUCCUCUGACUUUAGUAGAGCUCCAGAUGGCCUUAGGGUACAUUGUUCAGACCUGGGGGCUAAAACUUCUCCUGGCGCCUCCCCAAGAUGCCUCAUACUCAAGAUCCUCAUGCCAAACAAUCAAGGUUCUUCCUCCAUCUUUGAUGUGAUCCCUGAUUCCUCUCCUCCAGAAACCUUCCCAAAGGGAGCCCUGCAUGAAACCCCCCAACUCUGUUAGCCGUGUGCCUUACUGAGAACACAGCCCUGUGACGAGGUGUUGACUAACCAGAAGAGAAGGGAUGAGAGCAGGCUCUGGAUGCUGAACUGGAGGUUUAUGGAGACUGCAUGAGUGAAUGGGAGUUGAGGCUUCCUUUGCAGACCUUGGGUAAGCUUCCUUUAGGGGUCUCAGGCAGUGUGUGUUUUGGGGGUUUUACUGUGUGCCAGUCUCUCAUGAUAAAUCUAUGAUGUAUCUAUGUCUAUUUUUACACAUACAGAUACACUGUCUGUUCUGUUCCUAUGUAGAAUUCAAUCUCAUCCACUCAUCCUUUUCCUAUCUAGAUGGCUCUAGUUGAACCAUUUGUCUACUUCCAUCAGCAAUGUUGCAAGAUUUCUCCAUAUGUAUUCCAAGUUUUGUUAUUAUCUAUUGCAUUGAUUACAUCCAUCCUACUGAAAGUAAAGUAGUGUAUGAGUAUGGUUUUGAUUUCCCCAAUGAAUACUGAUGUGAUAUAUCUAGUCAUUUGUGUAUGGCCACUGGGAUACCUUCUUGAGAGAAAUCCCCUUCUCCCUUGAGUUUUCCAUCAUCAUGAAUCGUCCCUAAUGCUGCAUUGAAAGUGCCUUUAUCCAGGUCACCAGGGAACUCCACAUUAUUAUUUGGAAUGAUCAGCUCCAAGUGCUCAUCUUCUUUGGAAUCUGAGCAACACUUGACAUAUACUCACUUGAACACUGUCCUCACCGCCCACCUUUCUUGUCAUCCCAUGCAGUGGAUGCUCUUUACUUUCUUUUACCACCUUCUUUUAUUCUUGCCCACAUCUGCAUUCCUGAUUCUCCUUAGGUUCACUGUGAGACCAUCUUUCUUCACUCAGUCACUUUAUACUAUUGGGGCCGUGCACUGAUCCUCAGACCUUGUGACUACCUUAGCAAAACUGACUUGAGAGAUGUCUUCAGUGUUAAAAAACCAAAAACAAAACUUUGAGAUGUAAAGAUGAUCAAGUUUACCUGAGUGGUCCCAAAAAAUCAAGCAAUAGGUAAAAGGGAGUUAGAUAAGAUGUAAAACUGAUUCCACUCACUGAUACUGGCUUUCAAGAUGUAGUAAGCAAGUGACAUGGGAAUGUAGUGCUCUUCUACAAAAGAGCCUCAGUUUAUAACCAACAAGAAAAUGAGGGCCUCAGUUUUAUCACUGCAGAGAAAGGCAUCCUGGUAACUACCUUUAUCAGGACAAAACAAAUUUUCCCUUAAGUCUACAGAAAGAAAUGCAAUUUUUUCUCACACAUACAAAAAUUUUUUAAAAUUAUUUUUCAGAAAUGCAAUCUUAAGAUAAUGUAGUUUUACUUUAGGAAUUCACCAUGUAUUGCCCUCCAGGACGAUAAGAUCAGUUUCAUUUGUGUUAGGAUAUUAAGUCUAAGGAAUAGAAAAUAAUGCAGUUAGUGGAUCCUUAUGGUUUGAAAUCCUUUGGGUACUCCAAAUUUUCUGGCCUGGGUACCUCCAAUGAACUUCAUAUUGUAAAUGUCCAGCUGUUUAUAUGGCAUCUCUACUUGAUUGUGGGCAUUAGAGAUCAAGUAGGAUCUCCAGCUUGAUGUGUCUAAAUUUCAGCCAUCUCCAUACGCUCCCACAGAGUGUUCUCUUUCCAAUCAGUCUCAUCUCUAUUCUUCCACCUGUUCCAGUGACAAAAGCAUGGUGUCAUCUUAUCUUUUUCCCGCACCCUACACUCGUACCACUAGGUCCUCACUCAGUACCUGAAGUACUUCUCUGAUCCAGUGUGACCAGCAUCUGUCACUUGCAUGACUGCAGUGGCCUCACAGUCUCCUUGCCUGUCUCUAAUUCCUCAAGUUUUAUUCUCCAACUAGUGUCCACAAGGCCUGCUUCAAAAUAUGACUUGCAACAUUUUUCCUUAUUGGGCAAUGUCUAAAAGCACAAAUCCUUAACGUUGACUUACAUGUGUAUAGAAACAUACAAAUAUUGGUAUAGAAAAUAUUGAAAAUUUCUUUAUUUUCUCUUUCACAAAAUAAAAAGCCAAAUCCUAUUGUGCUCAGACUCCUUCAGAAUCUUUGUGAAUAGAUUGUUUUUGUGAUGAUGAAUCUAUUUUAAAACAUGGCAGAAGAUGGAUUUCACUAAUACUUUCGACAACCUGACAAACCACAGAAAAGGAACUAAAGCUUUCCUCUAGUCACCUAGAUUGUUUUGUAGUGCUCACUUCCCUCUUUGCACUGAUGAAUUUUUCU